rnacentral:rRNA from 1 species
UGGUGGCGAGCGGCGGACGGGUGAGUAAUGCCUAAGGAAUCUGCUGGUAGUGGGGGAUAACGCUCGGAAACGGACGCUAAAUACCGCAUACGUCCUACGGGAGAAAGCAGGGGACCUUCAGGCCUUGCGCUAUCAGAUGAGCCUAGGUCGGAUUAGCUAGUUGGUGAGGUAAUGGCUCACCAAGGCGACGAUCCGUAACUGGUCUGAGAGGAUGAUCAGUCACACUGGAACUGAGACACGGUCCAGACUCCUACGGGAGGCAGCAGUGGGGAAUAUUGGACAAUGGGCGAAAGCCUGAUCCAGCCAUGCCGCGUGUGUGAAGAAGGUCUUCGGAUUGUAAAGCACUUUAAGUUGGGAGGAAGGGCAGUUACCUAAUACGUAAUUGUUUUGACGUUACCGACAGAAUAAGCACCGGCUAACUCUGUGCCAGCAGCCGCGGUAAUACAGAGGGUGCAAGCGUUAAUCGGAAUUACUGGGCGUAAAGCGCGCGUAGGUGGUUCGUUAAGUUGGAUGUGAAAUCCCCGGGCUCAACCUGGGAACUGCAUUCAAAACUGACGAGCUAGAGUAUGGUAGAGGGUGGUGGAAUUUCCUGUGUAGCGGUGAAAUGCGUAGAUAUAGGAAGGAACACCAGUGGAGAAGGCG